GUCCGCGUCGGCGAUCCGGGGUCUGGGCGCGGCGAGGUCUGGUGUGGCAGAUGUGGAUAGCUGGACCCUCCUGGGUGCCUCUGCGUUAUGUCGUUUGGUUGAUGCAUUUGGAGAGAAUCUGUGCUCUCCACAACUGCAGGGGCAACAUGCUUUCCUGGCCUCUUCAGAUCAGGGUGGCUGUUCUUGGGUGCUGCACCAAAACUCCAGCAGUGGGCUUUCUUCAAGGUGAGCUGCAAGAUGGAAUCUGAGGCCCACCCGUCAGUAAGAGUUUCCUCCUGGUAUCCAUGGAAUCUACUGGUCUGUCUCACUUUGGCCUUUGACCCAGGCAGGGGUUCCUAACAUCUACAUCGGUCAUUCGGACAGCCUUGCUUUUGGUUCACUGCCUUACACGGGGCUUCCAGAUGUUGACCUGCUUCAUUUUACAGUAUCAGGAAAUCACUUUCCCCUCAGAAAUGGCCGGCUCACCUCAUUCCUGCCAAGACCCAGGUCCGUGUUCUCACAGUGCUGCCAUCUUUCCUCCGUGUGAGCGUGGGCUGUGCGGAGAGUGGACCUCGGUGUGUGCGGGGCUGCGUGCACUGCCAUCGCUCCCUCUACACGAGCCGGCGUGGACCCAGGGCUGAGCUGUGACCACGAGGGCCAUCCCGACGAGCCGCCAUGGACCCAGGGCUGAGCUGUGACCAUGAGGGCUAUCCCGACGAGCUGCCGUGGACCCAGGGCUGAGCCGUGACCAUGAGGGCCAUCCCGAAACUGUGAUUAUGAAGAAACCAAGGCUUUGUGACUAACUCAACCCCUCAAGAAGGACAAAACUAGCAUCAGAGCCCCUUGCUCCUGGGUCUGGCAAGAAUGCCUCUUGUUUGCUGAGAGGUCCACAGAUUUACCCGGCUCAAGACUGGGAGAUGGGAGGUGACCAGGUCAGUGCCAGCCUCUCUCUGAGCUCCUCUGAGUCGUGGCAGCUGAGGUGCUCCUCCGAGAAUGUUCUGCCAUCCGUGAGGUCGUGUACGCCUGGAAGCUUUUGUUCCAUUGAACUCUGCCAGGGAGCUAUACUUAGCCACGCGAGUGGAGGCCAGGAGUGGGUUCUCUGAAUAUAGAUAGUAGCAAGCAGGCUAUUUUCAAACACCUAGAGAACCCCCAUGAUUAUUCUGGGCCAAAAUGAUAUUUAUAGGAUGCUCUGGGCCCUUGGACAUGAAGGCAAUAACCUUAGCGCCUUUUGGCGUUCGGGAUAAGUUUCUAUCAACGGGGAGUGGAGAGAGGGACCCGGUCACCCAGAGGCCCGCUGUCCCUCAACACCUGUUUCCAGGAGGCCAGGCGUCUUCUUUGCUUUUACACUAUGAGUCAGAGAACAGCGAGAGGCACGCAGGGCCCUACUAAUUUUCCUUCCUGCACACCCUGGUGUGGGUCCUGUCUGAGGCCUGCCGUGUGCUAUUAGGGAAGACGUCAUCAGGGGACUUUUUCUGCUGUGAGGAGGGUGCAGCCCCUGCCUUUCAGAGCUCAGGACACCCUCUUCCUCUUGUCCAGGAUCCUCAGGGAUUUCCUAGGCUUCCACCCUCACCCAGACAUCACUGGACCGUCACUGAAACACCCGCUUCCAGUGUGCUCAGGUCCUGCAGCCUCCUGUCCAUCCUUGCCCCGCCUCCCGCCCGGAGGAAAGACUCUGACACUGCCCCUGGAAGAGGGAGGAGAGUGGAUGUGAUGAGUGAAGAUUUGGGUGGGGAAAGGAAGGCCUGAGUCCUGGGAGGAAGAGCUCUCCCCGCCCCGAGCCCCCGGAGACUGUGAGCAAGGCUGAGACGCCUCCUUCCUGGUGCUCAAGCUGCAGGUGUUGGAUAGGCCUCCAGAAGCCCAGAUUUUAAAUGACCGCUCCAGGUUAACCUGGGGAUGGUCAGGCAGAACAAGGAGGAGAGGCCAGCAGUGAAGGGCAGGGCUGGUGGGCAGUGGCUGGGGGUGUCCUGGGUGGGGCUGGCCACCCUCGCUGCCUCUGACUUGGGCCAGACCUGCGUUAAGUGGAGUGGCUCCUCCAUUCUUUACACCCCAGGCCCCUGGCAGGUGCCCUGCCUUUCCUCUGCCCCUCUCUCUGCCAACCCAUCCUCUCCCUCCCAGCCCCUGCCCGCCCAGAUAUAAAUAUAAGAGCAUUUUCCAUGGGCUGAGACA
rnacentral:lncRNA from 1 species